AACACGUGUUUCAGCGCUUUUGUUUCAAUGCAACACCUGAAGGCUGUUCAAACGCAGAUUAAUAGACAUAAAUUGUUAUAAUAAAACAAAUAAUGAAACGGGCAAAGCCACGGGCGAACGAUUAAUUUGAUUACACAGGACAAAAUAGGCUCGUUUUUCUUGAAUGUCUAAUUUAUGGUCGAAAGGAACCAAUUCAGUAUGAAAUUGAAAUGGGAAUAAAUGGUAUGCGAAUUUAGGAAAUUUGUUCAAAUACUAAUAGUAAAUUUUCUGACAAUUAACAUUUCCCAAUUAUUCAGAAGGGUAGGACAAAUAUAUAUUUUUAAUUGCAAAUAAAUUUCUAAUAAUCGUUUGAUUUAAUUGACGAUGAAGUAGAAUUAGUUUCUGUUUUUAACAUCGAAUAUUAUAGAAGAUUAUUUGCAAUAAUUUUU
rnacentral:misc_RNA from 1 species